UACAGAGGAGCCAAGCGUUGUCCGGAUUGACUGGGCGUAAAGCGCACGCAGGCGGUUGCGCGCGUGGGUGUGAAAUCUGGCCGCUUAACGGCCAGGCGCCAUCCCAUACGGCGCGACUGGAGCGAGUGCAGAGGUCGGUGGAAUUGCCGGUGUAGUGGUGAAAUGCGUAGAGAUCGGGCAGGAACACCCAGGGGGAACCGCCGA
rnacentral:rRNA from 1 species